ensembl:snoRNA SNORD36 Small nucleolar RNA SNORD36
UUGCAAUGAUGUAUGAAUUUCUUCACCUGAAAUAAUUGUGUAGAUCAAAUACACGAGCUUUUUAACCCUGAGCCAU